rnacentral:lncRNA from 1 species
AUAUCACACGAGAGGAAAUAAGUGCAACUGUAAGUGUAACCGCAACUGUAACUGCAAUUUCUCCAAAAAUUGCUCGAAAAAUCCUCGUGUGAUAUAGAAAUCACGGUUGCACGAAAUAUCUGCAACUGUUCAGGCAAUUUCUUAUACGAACCAAUCAGAUCGUUUGCUUUUUAUGACGUUUCAAUUUUAUGUGAUGACGUAUACAAAUGUAAAUAAAAAUGGCGGCGACGUUGGUGAAGAGGAUGAUCGGCUGAAAUUUUUUUAUAGACGAAACGGAACAGUAUUUUAGUUUAAUAAUAACAUUUCCUUUAAAAUUAAAGCAUUAAAAAUACUUUCACACGAUGAGAUAACCAUCUCAAUGCCGUUGAUGUACUACCAUAACAGGAACCUGCACAUGAUUUUAGUAUCGAUAUUUCGUAUAAUCCUGUAAGGUUUAUCUGGUAAAGAAGGAAAGAGAUGUAAUACUGUUUUUAUGGAAGAAAUUAAAAAAUAAGAAAUAAAAAUGAAUAAUGUUCUAAAUGUUUCACUUGACAAUAAAUGUUUUAUUUUUUAAA